CUGAACACAAAUAUUAGUGUUUCAAAACAGUAAAACAUAUCACAGCGAUGAUAUUGUCAGUGAAAGUGAAGUUUUUUGCAUUUUUUUACACCUAAACGGCACUUUUACUGAUGAUAUCAUUGUCGUGAUAUAUUUUACUGUUUUGAAACACUAAUAUUUGUGUUCAG